UCCAGACUCCUACGGGAGGCAGCAGUGGGGAAUAUUGGGCAAUGGGCGCAAGCCUGACCCAGCAACGCCGCGUGAAGGAAGAAGGCCCUCGGGUUGUAAACUUCUUUUGUCAGGGACGAAGAAAGUGACGGUACCUGACGAAUAAGCCACGGCUAACUACGUGCCAGCAGCCGCGGUAAUACGUAGGUGGCAAGCGUUGUCCGGAUUUACUGGGUGUAAAGGGCGUGCAGCCGGGCUGACAAGUCAGAUGUGAAAUCCGUGGGCUUAACCCGCGAACUGCAUUUGAAACUAUUGGUCUUGAGUGCCGGAGAGGUAAUCGGAAUUCCUUGUGUAGCGGUGAAAUGCGUAGAUAUAAGGAAGAACACCAGUGGCGAAGGCGGAUUACUGGACGGUAACUGACGGUGAGGCGCGAAAGCGUGGGGAGCAAACAGGAUUAGAUACCCUUGUA
rnacentral:rRNA from 1 species